GUGGGGAAUAUUGGGCAAUGGGGGAAACCCUGACCCAGCAACGCCGCGUGAAGGAAGAAGGCUUUCGGGUUGUAAACUUCUUUUAUGAGGGACGAAGAAGUGACGGUACCUCAUGAAUAAGCCACGGCUAACUACGUGCCAGCAGCCGCGGUAAUACGUAGGUGGCAAGCGUUGUCCGGAUUUACUGGGUGUAAAGGGCGCGUAGGCGGGAUAGCAAGUCAGGUGUGAAAUCCGGGGGCUUAACCCUCGAACUGCACUUGAAACUGUUAUUCUUGAGUGAUGGAGAGGCAAGCGGAAUUCCUAGUGUAGCGGUGAAAUGCGUAGAUAUUAGGAGGAACACCAGUGGCGAAGGCGGCUUGCUGGACAUUAACUGACGCUGAGGCGCGAAAGCGUGGGGAGCAAACAGGAUUAGAAACCCGGGUAGUCC
rnacentral:rRNA from 1 species